CCAGUAAAACUGCAAGUGGUCCCCCUCCUCUCAUGCCCAGGGGCCCAGGACACACCCUGAGGCGCAGCUGCACAGAUCUCUCUUAUAGUCCGUGCCUUUGCAGGGUCGUCCUCGGCAUCCCACUCUGAAUCCCACAAGUCUUGCUGUGUCACCCAGAGCUGGAGUGGAGUGGCACAAUCUUGGCUCACUGCAACCUCCACUUCCUGGGUUCAAGUGAUUCUAGUUCCUCAGCCACCCAAGUAGCUGGGAUUACAGACAUGCGUCACCAUGCUGGUCUCGAACUCCUGGCCUCAAGUGAUCCGCCCACCUCAGCCUCCCAAAGUGCUGGGAUUACAGGUGUGAGCCACCACGCCUGGCCAACUUUCCUAGGUGAUUCCAACAUGCAGGUCUUACUGAUGAACAUCCUCCUAGAUCAAAGCCUUUGCAUUUGUGUUCCCUCCACUGGAAUGCCCUUCCUGUAUAUCAGCAAGGCUAGCUCCCUCAU